AUUGAACGCUGGCGGCAGGCCUAACACAUGCAAGUCGAGCGGAUGAAGGGAGCUUGCUCCUGGAUUCAGCGGCGGACGGGUGAGUAAUGCCUAGGAAUCUGCCUGGUAGUGGGGGAUAACGUCCGGAAACGGGCGCUAAUACCGCAUACGUCCUGAGGGAGAAAGUGGGGGAUCUUCGGACCUCACGCUAUCAGAUGAGCCUAGGUCGGAUUAGCUAGUUGGUGGGGUAAAGGCCUACCAAGGCGACGAUCCGUAACUGGUCUGAGAGGAUGAUCAGUCACACUGGAAGUGAGACACGGUCCUGGCUCCUACGGGAGGCAGCAGUGGGGAAUAUUGGACAAUGGGGGGAAGCCUGAUCCAGCCGUGCCGCGUGUGUGAAGAAGGUCUUCGGAUUGGAAAGCACUUUAAGUUGGGAGGAAGGGCAGUAAGUUAAUACCUUGCUGUUUUGACGUUACCAGCAGAAUAAGCACUGGCUAACUUCGUG
rnacentral:rRNA from 1 species